GCCACCGUAGCUCAGUCGGAAGAGCAGCUGAUUUGUAAUCAGCAGGUCGGGGGCUCGAUUCCCUCCGGUGGCU
rnacentral:tRNA from 2 species